GAUGAACGCUGGCGGCGUGCCUAAUACAUGCAAGUCGAGCGGACAGACGAUGAGCUUGCGGCGCGCACGUGAGCGGCGCGCGUGAGAGAAACGCGUGUAUAACGUACCUAUAAUACGGGUAACACUUCGAAACACCGGAUCUAAUACGGUAUGAUAUAUUGAACCGCAGGGGGGGAUGGUAAGAUUCGGUUGUUGGGGCAGGUAUAGAGGGAUCCGCGCCGGAUUAGGUAGUUGGUGAGUUAACGGCUUACCAAGGCAACCAGGCGUAAACGAACGGAGAGGGUGAUAGGCCACCCUGGAACUUAGACACGGUCAAGACUACUACGGGAGGCAGCAGUAGGGUAUCUGCCGCAACGGGCGAAAGCCUGACGGAGCAACGGCGAGUGAGUGACGACGGUGUUCGGAUCGUAAAAACCUGUUAUGAGGGAAGAACAAAUGUGUAAGUAAAUAUGCACGUAUUGACGGUAAUUAAUAAGAAAGCCACGGCUAACUACGUG
rnacentral:rRNA from 1 species